AAAGUCCUAAUAAAUCCAAGGUUAAUGCUGGUUGUACAUUACCUUGUACAUGAGCUUGUCCAUAAUGCUGAGUUAGCAUUGUUUGAAUUUCAAUUUCUCGUGGCCAUUAAAGAAUGGGUUAAAUUUUUUGAUAGAAUUCCCAAAAAGCCCCUACCUUAUCUGAUUCCUCAAAACCUUCUCUUUGCACAAGAAAUCGCCAUACAAUACUCUGUCUAAUUGAAAUCCUCUGACGACCGACAAUGAGUCGGCGACGAUGAGCAGAUCGAGUGAGACAAACGCCUAGUGAGAUGGUACAGUCUAACAAAGUAUACACCGAGGAGGAUGUAAGAGACCAAGUGGUUAAAAGGAUCCCAUUCGAGUCAUCCGAGCAGGGACCCUUUCGCUUUCCUGGGUUACGUGGUGAUAUUGAAGCCAUUGAACGUAGUUUCUUUUGGCGGUAUCAACCAUUUCUUUGAAGCAGCCGAAGAGAUGAAGAAUGAUUUCUUUAGUGCAAUAGCGGCUCCUUUGGAAUUUCAGCAAUCAAAUGACAUUAUAUAGUUGGACAUUUCAAUUUUCAAAUCUGUGGAAGUGAAUGUAACUCUUCAACCAUUAUGACACAACUAAAUUUUUUU